rnacentral:miRNA from 1 species
CCAAGGAAAAUAUUUUCCUUGUUUUCAAGGAAAAUGUGGUCACAUGACCAAAACAAGGAAAAUAUUUUCCUUGG